ACACACAAGGAAAAGUCAGAGGCCUCUUGCCCACAGCCAGUGAGCCUUUCUAGAGAUAGAUUCUCCAGCCCAGUUGGGCCCUCCGGAGUCAACAUCUUGGCUGCAACCUCAUGAGACCCAGAAUUCCACACAAACAGAAACUCAACAAGUGCUUCCCAUUGGACCUCUCAGACCACAUUUGAGUGCAGAGAAGUGGCGCGAGAUAAGAGAACCGCACAAGAGGGCCGGCGUCCAUGAGGAGGCCGCGACUCGGGCACGGGUAAAUUCUUCCCAGUCCGUGAUGAAAAUCGCCGCUCGGCCACAACCGCCUGUGGGGGAGGGAGGAGAGGGUUGUGAACUCUCGUGUGGAAAUUCAAAACGUAAAAAGGAAGAAGAAUGGCUGAGAGGACUCAGUGGCCUGAGGUAUCAAAGGAAUUUGAGACAAAUGAUGAAAGAUAAGAAAAUGCAAGACACCCUCACGCCAUGUUCCUUCUGAUAGGGACCCAGGCAAGUUUCCGCCCCCACAGUGGCCCUUCCUCUUAGACUCCUGCUCCUUCAGAGCAGGCCUCAGCACCUCUUGGGAAAUUGGGCAAUGCCACCAUAACUGCCUGGCCCCACGGCCCCUUCACUGUGCCUUUUUUCUUCCCCUUUAUGCCCCUAGCCACCCUAUUCCCUAGCCAGGUUCCUGCCCUGCCUUACCCAACCCCAUGUGCUCUAUCACAGACUCCUGUGUCUUUCCUUUACAGAACUUAGCACAAGUUCCAAUUAUAUGUUAGUUUACUGAGUAAUGGAGGCCAGAUCCAUGUCUCCGGGGUUCAUUACUACAUUGUAGCUCCUAAUACUGUUCUUGGCACAUAGAUGGCACUCAAUAACAUAUUUUAAAUGGAUGGAUGAGCAAAUGGCUGCCUGACCCCGCUAACGGUCUCAGGCAACCCACUCAUGGUCAGGUGCAGCCUGUACCACUGGCGGGUUUGUUUAUUGUCCCUAGGGCGUGGCACAGAGGAGAAAUCUACUUAGGAGCUGAGUGCCCCCAGAAGGACUACUCCCCUAGGAAACAAAGCAGCCACUUCUCUCGGAGGGUUCCUAUGUUGCCACUAUGCCACUGUCCCUCCCCGGACCGCA